AUACGUAGGGGGCGAGCGUUGUCCGGAAUGAUUGGGCGUAAAGGGCGCGUAGGCGGCGCGGUAAGUCUGGAGUGAAAGUCCUGCUUUCAAGGUGGGAAUUGCUUUGGAUACUGCCGCGCUUGAGUGCAGGAGAGGUUAUCGGAAUUCCCGGUGUAGCGGUGAAAUGCGUAGAGAUCGGGAGGAACACAGUGGCGAAGGCGGGUAACUGGACUGCAACUGACGCUGAGGCGCGAAAGUGUGGGGAGCAAACAGGAUUAGAUACCCUGGUAGUCCACACUGUAAACGAUGAAUGCUAGGUGUAAGAGGUAUCGACCCCUUUUGUGCCGGAGUCAACACAAUAAGCAUUCCGCCUGGGGAGUACGGCCGCAAGGUUGAAACUCAAAUGAAUUGGCGGGG
rnacentral:rRNA from 1 species